UACGUAGGGUGCAAGCGUUGUCCGGAAUUAUUGGGCGUAAAGAGCUCGUAGGCGGUUUGUCGCGUCUGCUGUGAAAACUGGAGGCUCAACCUCCAGCUUGCAGUGGGUACGGGCAGACUAGAGUGCGGUAGGGGAGAUUGGAAUUCCUGGUGUAGCGGUGGAAUGCGCAGAUAUCAGGAGGAACACCGAUGGCGAAGGCAGAUCUCUGGGCCGUAACUGACGCUGAGGAGCGAAAGCGUGGGGGAGCGAACAGG
rnacentral:rRNA from 1 species